UGGGAAGUGAAGAGGAAGAAUGAAUUGUUUUCUAGAGGAGAUGGUGCUGGUUGGAAAGAAAAUGUCCAAAGAGAUCGGUGGAUGUGGAGACUUGGUCUGGCACUUGUGAGCAACAGUGUCCUUCACCAAGGCAGAGAUGUAAAAGACUAUCAAAGAAAGACAGAGUUGAAAGACCAGUUCUUCAGGAAAUGUGUUCCUAGAUAGGGUUGGCGUAUUGGUCAGCAGACUGAGAGUGGAAGACCUAUCCUACUUGUGGAUGGCACUAAUCAAAAUGUUUGUCACCUGGAUGUAAUAAAAGAGAAAGAAGAAAAACAUGUGAAUGCUCCAUUCUGCUUCAAUUCAGAGACAGGAAUCUCCAAGAUCAAGGUACAACAGGGCCCAGCUUAUGAUGAAGACUUGCUUACAAAUGGCUGCCUUCUUUCUGCAACCUCAUAUGAUCUUUCUUCUGAGCACAUAAAGAGAGAAGGGGAGAGAGGAGCAGAGAAGGAGAGACACUCUCUCUCUUUCUAAAGUCGUUCCCAUACUAUUAAAUUGGGACCACCCUUAUGUCCUCACUUAAUCUUACUUAGCCCCUAAAAGCCCUAUCUGUGUAGUCAUAUUGGGGUUUAGGAAUUGGAGGAGUGCAUACUUCUGUCACAGUAAUGAGUGAGGAAGUUCUUGACUACACUACUAGUGAUAAUAAAAGGAAGAAAAAAGGAAAGGAUUUUCUGUGGUGUGUAUUUUCUCUUUUCUUUUCUUUUCAUCUCUUUUCUUUCUGGUAGUAUUAGAGGUUGAACCCAGGGUCUCACACUGAGCUAGCUACAUGCCUGACUCUUUGUUUUUAUUUUUAUUUGAUACAGGUCCUUGCUAAUUUGCUGUUGCCUAGCUUGGGCUCAGACUUGCAAUUCUCCUGACUUAGCCUCUCAGAGUGCUGGGAACACAAGCAUGCACCACCAUACCAAGCUUAGUGUGACUAUUUUACAUUUUAUUUUGUAAGGUUAUGGAGAUUUUGUUAUUCUUGUAAGAUGAGGAAAGACAGUAGUAGGCUGAGGAAAGACAGUAGGGAAAGGGAGAAGUAGAAGACACAGAAGGUAAUUGAUGGGAACAAUUAUA
rnacentral:lncRNA from 1 species